UACCAGCACCCCGAGUGGUCGGGACGAUUAUUGGGCCUAAAGCAUCCGUAGCCGGUUCUGCAAGUCUCCCGUUAAAUCCAACUGCUCAACAGGUGGGCUGCGGAGGAUACUACAGAGCUAGGAGGCAGGAGAGGCAAGCGGUACUCAGUGGGUAGGGGUAAAAUCCUCUGAUCCAUUGAAGACCACCAGUGGCGAAGGCGGCUUGCCAGAACGCGCUCGACGGUGAGGGAUGAAAGCUGGGGGAGCAAACCGG
rnacentral:rRNA from 1 species